GGUGCUAUAGUGUAGUGGUUAUCACUCGGGAUUUUGACUUGGUUGCUCUUUCCCGAAACCCAGGUUCGAACCCUGGUAGCACCU